rnacentral:rRNA from 1 species
UACGUAGGUGGCGAGCGUUGUCCGGAUUUACUGGGCGUAAAGGGAGCGUAGGCGGACUUUUAAGUGAGAUGUGAAAUACUCGGGCUCAACUUGAGUGCUGCAUUUCAAACUGGAAGUCUAGAGUGCAGGAGAGGAGAAUGGAAUUCCUAGUGUAGCGGUGAAAUGCGUAGAGAUUAGGAAGAACACCAGUGGCGAAAGCGGCUCUCUGGUCUGUAACUGACGCUGAGGUUCGAAAGCGUGGGUAGCAAACAGG